rnacentral:rRNA from 1 species
UACGGAGGAUCCGAGCGUUAUCCGGAUUUAUUGGGUUUAAAGGGUGCGUAGGUGGUUUAAUAAGUCAGCGGUGAAAGUUUGCAGCUUAACUGUAAAAAUGCCGUUGAAACUGUUAGACUUGAGUGUAAAUGAGGUAGGCGGAAUGCGUGGUGUAGCGGUGAAAUGCUUAGAUAUCACGCAGAACUCCGAUUGCGAAGGCAGCUUACCAAGCUACAACUGACACUGAAGCACGAAAGCGUGGGGAUCAAACAGGAUUAGAUACCCUGGUAGU